rnacentral:rRNA from 1 species
UACGUAGGGUGCAAGCGUUAAUCGGAAUUACUGGGCGUAAAGCGUGCGAAGGCGGUUUUGUAAGUCUGACGUGAAAUCCCCGGGCUCAACCUGGGAAUUGCGUUGGAGACUGCAAGGCUAGAAUCUGGCAGAGGGGGGUAGAAUUCCACGUGUAGCAGUGAAAUGCGUAGAGAUGUGGAGGAACACCGAUGGCGAAGGCAGCCCCCUGGGUCAAGAUUGACGCUCAUGCACGAAAGCGUGGGGAGCAAACAGG